rnacentral:rRNA from 1 species
AUUGAACGCUGGCGGCAGGCUUAACACAUGCAAGUCGAGCGGAAACGGAGGUAGCUUGCUACCAGACGUCGAGCGGCGAACGGGUGAGUAACGCGUAGGAAUCUACCUAGUAGAGGGGGAUAGCCCGGGGAAACUCGGAUUAAUACCGCAUACGCCCUAAGGGGGAAAGCAGGGGAUCUUCGGACCUUGCGCUAUUAGAUGAGCCUGCGUCGGAUUAGCUAGUUGGUAAGUAAGGCUUACCAAGCGACGAUCCGUAGCUGGUCUGAGAGGAUGAUCAGCCACACUGGAACUGAGACACGGUCCAGACUCCUACGGGAGGCAGCAGUGGGGAAUAUUGGACAAUGGGGGCAACCCUGAUCCAGCCAUGCCGCGUGUGUG